rnacentral:ncRNA from 1 species
CCGGCCGUUCCGUCGGCCGUAGCCUACCUGUGCAUGCGCUGCUGGUAACGGUGGCGUGUGAAGCCACGGGGACAACGUACCUGGCCCUCGGGCCCCGCUGGCUUCCGCGAGGAAACAGCGUCACCUGCCAGCAUCAAGGCGGAUGGGGUG